rnacentral:rRNA from 1 species
UGGGGAAUAUUGCACAAUGGGCGAAAGCCUGAUGCAGCAACGCCGCGUGCGGGAUGACGGCCUUCGGGUUGUAAACCGCUUUCAGCAGGGACGAGGGUUUUCUGACGGUACCUGCAGAAGAAGCACCGGCUAACUACGUGCCAGCAGCCGCGGUGAUACGUAGGGUGCGAGCGUUGUCCGGAAUUAUUGGGCGUAAGAGCUUGUAGGCGGUCCGUUGCGUCGGAAGUGAAANUCAGGGGCUUAACCCUGAGCCUGCUUUCGAUACGGGCGGACUUGAGGGAUGUAGGGGAGAACGGAAUUCCUGGUGGAGCGGUGGAAUGCGCAGAUAUCAGGAGGAACACCAGUGGCGAAGGCGGUUCUCUGGACAUUUCCUGACGCUGAGAAGCGAAAGCGUGGGGAGCAAAUCAGGCUUA